UUGCCCAAUGGACGCAAGUCUGAGGCAGCAACGCCGCGUGGAGGAUGAAGGCCUUCGGGUCGUAAACUCCUUUUCUGGGGGAAGAGAAAGGACGGUACUCCAGGAAUAAGUCUCGGCUAACUACGUGCCAGCAGCCGCGGUAAAACGUAGGAGGCGAGCGUUAUCCGGAUUUACUGGGCGUAAAGCGCAUGCAGGUGGUUUCUUAAGUCGGACGUGAAAGCUCCUGGCUCAACUGGGAGAGGUCGUUCGAAACUAGGAAACUUGAGGAUGGUAGAGGAGAGUGGAAUUCCCGGUGUAGUGGUGAAAUGCGUAGAUAUCGGGAGGAACACCAGUGGCGAAGGCGGCUCUCUGGGCCAUUCCUGACACUAAGAUGCGAAAGCUAGGGGAGAGAACGGGAUUAGAAACCCCGGUAUUCCUAGCCGUAAACGAUGUCAACUAGGUGUAGGGGGUAUCCAACCCCUCUGUGCUGUAGCUAACGCGUUAAGUUGACCGCCUGGGGACUACGGCCGCAAGGCUAAAACUCAAAUGAAUUGACGG
rnacentral:rRNA from 1 species